AGGGUAGCUGUCCAGCUGACAUCCUGAUGCUAAGGCUCCCUCCCCACCUCCUGCUGAUAACCGGGUUCUGUGCUGUGGCUUUGGGAGCUGUUCCUGGAAAUUCAGCCUAGAGUCUGCUGCUCCAGCCCUCCCAACAACCCUGCAAGCUAUUUAAGGCCCUUUUGCUUAGGUCAAGUAGACAGUGGUCCGCUCUGUGCAACAGAAUCCCGACUCAGACAUCAUCUGUCCUCGGAGAGGAAACCCUAACAGUCCUUUAGCAAAUCCUGCAGCGCUGCGGGAGGUGAAGCUUCUAGUCUCACCCAAACAUUUCCGCAAACUGCCACCAGCUGUUUUGCAAGAAGAUGACUAAUUUAUGAGAAUGGCUCGGAGUAUUUUUGGCUGUGUGUUUUAAUAAGGUCAGUGGAAGUUUAAAAUAUUUAUUUACUAUUUUUUUGGAAUGAGUUCUCAUAAGCUUCGGUGGCUGGAUUUACUUGCCCUUAAUUCUCGAAGCUUCCGUUGCUCUGUGAUCAAUGUGCACAGAAAACGUUUAAGUGAAGCAGAACUUAAAACAUACUUUUGUCUCUGCAGCCCCUUCUUUGGAGUGAAAAACAAACAAACAAACAAAAACCCAAGACACUGAUGACUUCUUUGAAAGAAAUAUCAGGAAUUUCAGAAACUGGAAGUAGCAGCCCAUACCUUAGAAUAACAGACCACUGGACCCAAGGACCAUGUCAUACGCUCACAGCUGGUUUACCUCAUCUAUCUGUUGUUAUAAUUUAAACAUAUAUAUGCACAUGUGUCUGUAAUUACCUUUUAUUUAAAAAAUGUUAUCAAAUCUCUCAAAUUCACUGGUCUCCUUGUUUGGUCACAGAAUGGUCUUCAAGUGGUGUUAGUUUUCCACACACCUACCUCACCAUACAGGACACCUGGAGGUUGUGUCUAUUUUGAUCCAAGAAUGUGUGAGCUCUUGUACAUAACUCAAAGCAGUCAAAAGUUAACUAUCUCUGGGGAAUGCCACAUUAUACCACUGCUACCUUCCUAACUGGCCGAUCAGUAUUAAGGAAGAUCGGUCAUGUCGAUCAU